UACAAGAAGAGAUGAAAAGACU
rnacentral:piRNA from 1 species